GUCUCCAGCGCCCUCUACUGUUCAGCAUCCUCCCCGCCGCGAGGGGAGCCGCGGAAGGGGAUUCUGGCUGUGACCGCAGAGCAGUAGAGACGGGGGUUUCACCGUGUUAACCAGGAUGGUCUCGAUCUCCUGACCUCGUGAUCUGCCCGCCUCAGCCUCCCAAAGUGCUGGGAUUACAGGCGUGAGGCACUGCGCCUGGGGUUGCACUGAGUUUAUAAGUCAAUUCAGGGGAGAAUUGACAUCUUUAAAAUACUGGGUCAUCUAAUCAGUUCACAUGGUAUGUACUUCUGUUUAUUUACCUCUUCUCUCAUUUCUCUAAAUAAUAAAGUGUCAUGGACAUCUUUUCAUUAAAUUUUUCCCCAGACAUUUGAAUUUUUAUGCUACCAUAAAUGGUAUUGUUUUAAAAUGUUUUAUUUUCUAACUCUUGCUGGUGUACAGAAAUAAAGUUGGUUUUCCUAUUUUGACCAUUUAUUCAGUCAUGCUAAACUCACUAAUUCUAAUAACUUGUCUCUGGAUUCUUUUGAGUUGUUAAUAAUACAUACAUAGUUUUGUAUCUUAGGUCCAAUCUUAGUAUUUUUAUUUCAACUUUUUUGCCUUAUUACUCUUGUUAGGAAUACCAGGAAAGUAUUGAAUACAAGUGAUGAUAAUGGACAUCUUCGUCUUAUUUCUGUUCUCAGGAAUGUUUCCACAUUUCAUUAUUAAGGAAAAUAUUUACCAUAGUUGUAGCUCCUUGAGAUAAACAGUGUUAAAAUUUUUUGGCCACUCUCCAUUGAUUUAAUGUAUGGUUUUCUAAAAACGAAAUAUUUUACAUACUGUUUCUGAGUAAGAUUUUUUACCCAAUGCACUGUAAACACCAAAAUCAUAUAUUUUUAUAUAGUUUUACUUGGCUUACCUUGUUUUUUUGCUUUAACUUGAAAAAUAUUU
rnacentral:lncRNA from 10 species